CGGGGCCUGCUGGGAGAGCGAGUUCCUGCGCUCGCCGAGGAGUGGGUCCGGAAGCGGCGCCGGAGCGGGUCCGGAAGCGGGCGGUGGAGAAGUCCAGUUGCCCCAAAAUUCUUAGGCAGCAGAAGAGUGACAAGUGAAAAAAGUUCCUAGCGGGAGACGUGCUUGGAACCGGAGAUAAUCUGUGUCUACCGCUGGUCUUCAAGGUGCUUAAUUUCGUGCCCGCUCUACAGGAAAUAACGUGCGCGGCGGAGGAGCCCUGUCCUGGAGAAUAACGCGUGAAGAAGACAGUGGACUGGGCAUUUCGUCCAGAUGAAUGAGCAUGGUAGUUAAGUGUAGAAGGUGACCUUCUUCCCUCUGGAGAGACCAGGGAGGGGGGAACCACCGGAGGAGUUUCUAGCGGUUGCAGCUACUUGAGGUUCCAGUCUAAUAACUACGAACUGUUCAUUUCAAGUAGCAUUAAAGUAGAUUUGCUACAGUAACAAUUACACUUGGCUAAGGAAAAUUUGCAAGGCAACAUGGUCUAUUGCAUAGAGCACUGAGCCACAUGUUAACACUGUAACAAACACUUGCUAUUUUGAAAUUUUACGCUUCAUCUUUUGCAAAUCAGAUGCAGGUGCAGAGUGAAUUAAGAGGAGCUGAAUUAAGAGAGAAGCUUGCAUGCACUGCUGUCAAAACCUAAACACACUGGCUUUUUUUUUUUUAACAGUUCCUUUUUUCAAGGUAUAGAUUCUGGGAAGGUAAGGGAAGAUAAAACAGCUUUUCUUUUUCUCUCCUGUUUUUUUUUUUGUUGUUUUUUUUUUGAGACUAGGUCUCACUCUAUUCCCCAUGCUGGAGUGCAGUGGCACAAUCAUAGCUUACAGUAGCCUCGAACAGCGAUCCUCUUGCCUCAGCCUCCAAAGUAGCUGGGACUACAGGCGCGCGCCACAACACCUGGCCAAGCGUUUCUUCCAGAUCAUUCCUUACUGGGUUGCUGGUUCAGUAAAAAUAAAAAAAUAAAAAAUAAUUUAGAAAUGAGUUCCCAAAUUUCAUUAUGUUCCCAAUGUCAUUUGGAAUCACUGUUUCACUGUUUUCUUAUUUACCCCUGGGUCGUACAUUACUUCACUUAUUUAUAUCUAACAGGAAGCAGAGCUUCUGCUAUAUUUUAGGCUGUAUUCAGUUUUAUACAGAAUACCUUUUUUAGAGCUUGAAGACAAAUGUUUUAGAUUUUGACAGUAAAACAAAUUUCCCUCAUUUUUACAUAUAGAGAAAAGCAAUUCCCAGAAAGAUAACAUUGUGAAAUUACUGAAAUCAGUUAUAAAACUCAGGGCAAAGUGUGGAAUUAAAGUGGUUCACAGUCAUUUGAAUACACAUACUCAGAUGUAUUCUAAACUAAGAUGAGUUUUUUUUUAAGCAAACGUUUAGAGAUUUUAUUCAGAGUAUAUAAAGAACUCUCAAAACUCAGUGAGAAAAAAAGCAUUUAAAAAAUGGGCAAAAGAUUUAAACAGAUUUCACCAAACGAGAUAUAUAUAUACA
rnacentral:lncRNA from 1 species